GAUGAACGCUGGCGGCGUGCCUAAUACAUGCGAGUCGAGCGAACAGAUGAGGAGCUUGCUCCUCUGACGUUAGCGGCGGACGGGUGAGUAACACGUGGAUAACCUACCUAUAAGACUGGGAUAACUUCGGGAAACCGGAGCUAAUACCGGAUAAUAUAUUGAACCGCAUGGUUCAAUAGUGAAAGACGGUUUUGCUGUCACUUAUAGAUGGAUCCGCGCCGCAUUAGCUAGUUGGUAAGGUAACGGCUUACCAAGGCAACGAUGCGUAGCCGACCCGAGAGGGUGAUCGGCCACACUGGAACUGAGACACGGUCCAGACUCCUACGGGAGGCAGCAGUAGGGAAUCUUCCGCAAUGGGCGAAAGCUUGACGGAGCAACGCCGCGUGAGUGAUGAAGGUCUUCGGAUCGUAAAACUCUGUUAUUAGGGAAGAACAAAUGUGUAAGUAACUAUGCACGUCUUGACGGUACCUAAUCAGAAAGCCACGGCUAACUACGUG
rnacentral:rRNA from 1 species